ACGAGAGGCUCAAGUUGACAGACAUCGGCGUAAAGAGUGGUUAGGAAGUUUUUGAAACUAAAGCCGAACGCCCUCAGAACUGUUAUACGUACCCGAGGGUAAGAAGCCCCACUACGAAAGUGGCUUUAUAUCUCCGACCCCACGAAAGCUGCGAAACAAACUGGGAUUAGAUACCCCACUAUG
rnacentral:rRNA from 1 species